GACCUCGGAUCGGGUAGGGAUACCCGCUGAACUUAAGCAUAUCAAUAAGCGGAGGAAAAGAAACCAACAGGGAUUGCCUCAGUAACGGCGAGUGAAGCGGCAACAGCUCAAAUUUGAAAUCUGGCUCUUUCAGGGUCCGAGUUGUAAUUUGUAGAAGAUGCUUCGAGUGUGGUACCGGUCUAAGUUCCUUGGAACAGGACGUCAUAGAGGGUGAGAAUCCCGUAUGUGACUGGUUACCUUCGCUCAUGUGAAGCUCUUUCGACGAGUCGAGUUGUUUGGGAAUGCAGCUCAAAAUGGGUGGUAAAUUUCAUCUAAAGCUAAAUAUUGGCCAGAGACCGAUAGCGCACAAGUAGAGUGAUCGAAAGAUGAAAAGCACUUUGGAAAGAGAGUUAAACAGUACGUGAAAUUGUUGAAAGGGAAGCGCUUGCAACCAG
rnacentral:rRNA from 1 species